AGAGUUUGAUCCUGGCUCAGGACGAACGCUGGCGGCGCGCCUAACACAUGCAAGUCGAACGGAGCUGAGAGGAGCUUGCUUUUCUUAGCUUAGUGGCGAACGGGUGAGUAACGCGUGAGUAACCUGCCCUGGAGUGGGGGACAACAGUUGGAAACGACUGCUAAUACCGCAUAAGCCCACGGUACCGCAUGGUACUGAGGGAAAAGGAUUUAUUCGCUUCAGGAUGGACUCGCGUCCAAUUAGCUAGUUGGUGAGGUAACGGCCCACCAAGGCGACGAUUGGUAGCCGGACUGAGAGGUUGAACGGCCACAUUGGGACUGAGACACGGCCCAGACUCCUACGGGAGGCAGCAGUGGGGGAUAUUGCACAAUGGGGGAAACCCUGAUGCAGCGACGCCGCGUGGAGGAAGAAGGUUUUCGGAUUGUAAACUCCUGUCGUUAGGGACGAUAAUGACGGUACCUAACAAGAAAGCACCGGCUAACUACGUGCCAGCAGCCGCGGUAAAACGUAGGGUGCAAGCGUUGUCCGGAAUUACUGGGUGUAAAGGGAGCGCAGGCGGGAAGACAAGUUGGAAGUGAAAUCCAUGGGCUCAACCCAUGAACUGCUUUCAAAACUGUUUUUCUUGAGUAGUGCAGAGGUAGGCGGAAUUCCCGGUGUAGCGGUGGAAUGCGUAGAUAUCGGGAGGAACACCAGUGGCGAAGGCGACCUACUGGGCACCAACUGACGCUGAGGCUCGAAAGCAUGGGUAGCAAACAGGAUUAGAUACCCUGGUAGUCCAUGCCGUAAACGAUGAUUACUAGGUGUUGGAGGAUUGACCCCUUCAGUGCCGCAGUUAACACAAUAAGUAAUCCACCUGGGGAGUACGACCGCAAGGUUGAAACUCAAAGGAAUUGACGGGGGCC
rnacentral:rRNA from 1 species